UAUGGGAGGUGAGUACAACUAACUGAUCCAAUAUUGGAUGGAUUCAUGGUGUGCUGUAAAGUGAAGCGGAUUGAGUCGAGUUUCCUUCAAUCAUUCUAUUCUCUUUCUACGUGACGUGUCCCACCAUCUCUCUCUCUCUCUCUAUAUAUAUAUAUGAUAUCAUUUCAUUUUUUACAACUUACGUAUAAUACUACUAGUUUGUGACCCAUUUCUGGACAAAGACACAUCUUUGAAUUUCAUUGGAUUCAAUUCAUUUGGGUAUCAAUCAAGAUUGAAUUGUUGUUGUCGUCGUCUUUGGGGAUGGGAUCGUGCCUGUAGAUGACGGGGGCACGGGUGUGACGUUGCUGAAGCAGGGACAUGACCUUGUUAUUGCGAAUGUAGAUGACUCCAGAGCUGUAUUAGCUACCCAAGAUCGUAGCAAUGGUUCUCUUAUUGCUGUCCAGUUGAGCACUGACCACAAGCCACAUCUUCCAAGGGAAGCAGAGAGGAUAAGGAUUUGUAAAGGAAGGGUCUUCGCCAUUAAGAACGAACCAGGGAUUGCUCGAGUAUGGCUCCCCAACAUUGAUUCCCCUGGCCUUGCCAUGUCACGUGCUUUUGGAGAUUUUUGUCUCAAGGACUUUGGAGUCAUCUCUGCUCCUGAUUUCUCAUAUCACCGCCUCACUCAAAGGGAUCAAUUUGUUGUCUUAGCCACAGAUGGGGUAUGUGAUGUUUUAUCAAACGAAGAUGCUGUGACCAUUGUGGCAUCUGCUCCACGCUACUUAGACUCCAACCUCAACAAAACCACCAAUAGCCUCCUCCUCCUCACUUCACUAAUUUGACAAUUACACUCACAUCCCCCUCAGGCUUAACAACAUUGUAUAUACUUUCUGUUAACACAUAUGUCACUUAAUGGAGAGAUGUAGUCUUGUAAAAAGAAAAGGAAUAUCCACAUUCCUUUAAUAACAUUGUAUAUACUUUCUUUCUUCCUUUCUCCUUUUAGCUGGAGGUCAUUUUCUUCUCUGUAUAUCUGGUACAUGUGGACUUCUGUAAAUUCAAGUCUCUAGAUUAUAUCAUGUAGUGUAUUAUCCAGUGGGUUGCUUGAAACAGGAAAAUUGAAAGAUUAAGUACUUGUUUGUUAUGAACGCUUGUUCUGUUUAUUAUCAAAUUUUAUUGUGAAUUCAACGUUGA